UACGUAGGGUGCAAGCGUUGUCCGGAAUUAUUGGGCGUAAAGAGCUCGUAGGCGGUUUGUCGCGUCUGCUGUGAAAACUCAGGGCUUAACUCUGAGCUUGCAGUGGGUACGGGCAGACUAGAGUGCGGUAGGGGGGACUGGAAUUCCUGGUGUAGCGGUGAAAUGCGCAGAUAUCAGGAGGAACACCGGUGGCGAAGGCGACUACCUGGCCCAUUCUUGACGCUGAGGCGCGAAAGCUAGGGGAGCGAACGGG
rnacentral:rRNA from 1 species